rnacentral:rRNA from 1 species
UACGAGAGGUGCAAGCGUUGUCCGGAUUUAUUGGGCGUAAAGCGUUUCUAAAGGCGCUUUUGUAAGUUAUCUUUCAAAGACCGGAGCUCAACUUCGGGAAGGGAGGUAAUACUGCAAGAGUUGAAAUAUUUCGGGGUUACUAGAACUAUCGGUGUAGGGGUGAAAUCCGUUGAUAUCGAUAGGAAUUCCAAGGGCGAAGGCAGGUAACUAGGAAUUUUUUGACGCUGAUGAACGAAAGCUAGGGGGGCGAAAGGG